rnacentral:rRNA from 1 species
GACGAACGCUGGCGGCGUGCUUAACACAUGCAAGUCGAACGAUGACGACCGAGCUUGCUCGGUCUGAUUAGUGGCGAACGGGUGAGUAACACGUGGGCAACCUGCCCUUCACUCUGGGAUAACCUCGGGAAAUCGGGGCUAAUACCGGAUAUGAGCUCCUGUCGCAUGGCGGGUGUUGGAAAGUUUUUCGGUGAAGGAUGGGCUCGCGGCCUAUCAGUUUGUUGGUGAGGUAGUGGCUCACCAAGGCGAUGACGGGUAGCCGGCCUGAGAGGGCGACCGGCCAAACUGGGACUGAGACACGGCACAGACUCCUACGGGAGGCAGCAGUGGGGAAUAUUGCACAAUGGGCGAAAGCCUGAUGCAGCGAAGCCGCGUGAGGGAUGACGGCCUUCGGGUUGUAAACCUCUUUCAGCAGGGAAGAAGCGAAAGUGACGGUACCUGCAGAAGAAGCGCCGGCUAACUACGUG